rnacentral:tRNA from 1 species
GGGGUUGUGGCUCAGUGGUAGAGCACUUGCCUAGCAAGUCCGAGGCCCUGGGUUCCAUCCUCAGCACCA